rnacentral:rRNA from 1 species
AUUGAACGCUGGCGGCAGGCCUAACACAUGCAAGUCGAACGGUAACAGGAAACAGCUUGCUGUUUCGCUGACGAGUGGCGGACGGGUGAGUAAUGUCUGGGAAACUGCCUGAUGGAGGGGGAUAACUACUGGAAACGGUAGCUAAUACCGCAUAACGUCGCAAGUCCAAAGAGGGGGACCUUCGGGCCUCUUGCCAUCAGAUGUGCCCAGAUGGGAUUAGCUAGUAGGUGGGGUAACGGCUCACCUAGGCGACGAUCCCUAGCUGGUCUGAGAGGAUGACCAGCCACACUGGAACUGAGACACGGUCCAGACUCCUACGGGAGGCAGCAGUGGGGAAUAUUGCACAAUGGGUGCAAGCCUGAUGCAGCCAUGCCGCGUGUAUGAAGAAGGCCUUCGGGUUGUAAAGUACUUUCAGCGGGGAGGAAGGGAGUAAAGUUAAUACCUUUGCUCAUUGACGUUACCCGCAGAAGAAGCACCGGCUAACUCCGUG